rnacentral:lncRNA from 1 species
AUCCUUCUUGAUACUUAGAUUGCUUUAAUUUUGGCCGAUGGCAGCCUCUUCAAAAUUCACUCAUGAAUGCUUUUGACACAAUCGCUUUACUUACUGCCUUGCUACCUGCUCUAAAAAGAUAUCUAGAAUCCUCUUAUUUUUUUUUGUUUGUUUUGUUUUGUUUCAUACUUAUAAUUAACUGUAUGUCUAAGGAACCCUGCUUUCUUUUAUUAAGAAAGUGUGGUAUCUGGAGACCAUAAUUUGUAUGCCAGGGGGUUAUUAUUUUAAGGGUGCCAGUUCUUUUUAUAUCUUUGAAUUCAGUGAAAUAUCAAAUAAAAAGCCAGCAGGAUAUUUUAUGACUUGAUAAAAUGACAAUAAAAUUUAUUUGGAAUAUUUAAGAUAAGAAUUUAAUGGGUAUAUAGUCCUUGCGCAUGUUAAGUGACAAAACUACAAACUUAAUACUACAGAGGAAACAGAAAAUGGACUUUAGGCUCAGCAGCAGCACAUGCUUGUAGCCCCAGCUACUCGGGAGACUGAGGUGGAAGGAACACCUGAGCCCAGGAUUUUGAAUCCAGCCUAGGCAGCAUAGCAAGAACCCUAUUGCAAAAAACUAAAUAAAAGAAAUAAAAAUAAAACAGACCUAAGAAGAAAGUGGCAAUCUCUUCAAAAUAAAUGAAAGCUAUAUUAUUCAACAAAUGUAACAGGGCAGUUGGCUAUUUAUAACUUUGAAUGUAAAAAGGGAUAUUAUACCUUAACAUCAAAAUAAAUAUAAAUAGAUAAAAUGUUUAAUUAAAUAACUACAAGUAGUUUUAUUCAUUAACUUAGGGGUAGGAGAAGUCUUUGAAAUUAAGACUUAAAACCUAGAAACAAAUAAGGCAAAACUAAACUUAACAGAUAAAUUUGAUUAUGUAGAAUUUAAGAUUAUCUAGCAGGCAGAAUUACCUAUUUGAAUUUAUAUGAAGUCAAAAGACAAAUGACAAACUGAAGAAAUACUAAACAUACAUCAUGAUCUAUAAUAGAUUUAAUUCCUUUAUGGAGAAUUCCUUCAGAGUAUAAAGGUGUACAACUCAAUUGAAAAAUAAGAAAGGACAUAGACAAUAGAAAAUAAAAAUAACCAACAAACAUGAAAAUAUAUUCUACCUUAGUCACACUUAAAUAAACAUAAAUCAGAAUAAUAACAUGUCAUUUCUACCUAUCUGUAAUCAGUUGAAUUGUGGCCCCCUCCAAAAAAGGUAUGCUGGAGUGCUAAACCCCUGUACCUCAGAAUGUGACUUUAUUUGGAAAUAAAGUUGUUGGACAUAUAAUCAGAUAAUAUGAGGUCACACAGAAAUAGGGUGGUCUGUUAAUCCAGUAUUACUGGUAUCCUUAUAAGAAAAGGGCCAUAUAAAGGCACGGAAACACAAGGAGAAUGCUAUGGGAUGACCAAGGCAGUGAUUAGAGUUAUGUAGCUACAAGCCAAUGAACGUCAAAGAUUGUCAACAAACCAGCAGAGCUACGAAGAGUCAAUAAAGGAUUCCCCUGCAUGUUUUAGAGGGGACAUGCCCAACUCAUAUUUUGAUUUUGGACUUCUAAUCUCCAAAACUAUGAGACAAUAACAUUUUGUUGUUUUAAAGCCAUGCAGUUUGUGAUAAUUUGUUAUGGCAGCCCUAGGAAACUAUAUACUAUCUUACUGGAAAAAUAUUUAAAUAAUGAUAAGCAGUGCUAGUGAAUGUGUCUGUUGCUCAUGAUAGGCCUGUUUGUGGAGUACAUUUUGAAAGGGUAAUAUUGAUUAAAAUGCAGGGCACAUAGACUUACAUUUACAGCCAUUAUUAUAAUGAAUAGAAUUAUUCUUUCUCCACAGAGAAAGAGAUGGAAAACAGCACAAAAUUAGAUGAAAUAAUAGUUUCAGACUUUGGAGAAUAGGCAGAGAAACACUAUGAUCCCUGAGAAAAAAGAGAUAAACCACGUAAAGUCUAUAGUCAUCCUGUAUUUUUAUUGAGAGACACACAUGCAAGACCACAGUGUAGACGAAAGUCCCAAGGAGAGUAUAUGGCCUUGCCUUGUAUAGAAGACACAUACCAGAGUUCAGGCGUUUUGGAAGGAGGCUGAAGUUGCAGCAAAGGGCUCUGAAGAGGUGGUGGAUGUGCCCAAGACACAGGGAAGAAAAAGAAGUAAACAGGGAAGUACAACACAGACUCUGAAAUGGGGCAUCAUGGAAGACGGAGCUUUGUCGUCUUGGUCUUUGCUGUAUAUUCACUUCCUACAACAGUGCUAAAUACCUUGUGGAUGCUUAAAUAUAUUAAAUGAAUGCAUAAAUGAAAAGAGUAAAUAAAGAGUGUAUAUGAAAGUAUGUAGAUAAAAUUCUUCACUAAGCCUUGGGGAUCCAGCUGCUUAAGGACUAAGACCGUAUCUAGCUCCUUUUAGUAUUUCCACAGCAUGCCAUGGAGAUACAUGUUUCUGAUUAUAUAUGAUACAUGGAAAUUAUAUGUUGUUGAAUGAGUGAUUGAGUAAAUGUGUACUAGGGCAGCUAAUCAUAAAUAUUUCUACUAUUGCUAAAAUGACUGGAUUUAUCCAUUCCUUCUGAGAGUUUAUACUGAUUGCUUAUAUUGUAUCAAAUACCGUAACUGAGGGCAAUGUUUACUCAAACUAAUAGCACCAUUCAAAUUUAUGCAAACAAUAACACUAUAUCUUUAAAAUGUUUUCACUAAAAGCUGCAUAAAGAGUGUAUUCAACAACAAUAGAAUAAUUUUACAAUCUUUUUUCUUGCUUAAUGGCCAUUUGUGCCUUCUGACAUGCUGCUAGCCAUUCAAAGGUCACACUACCUUGAAGUUGAAGAUCAAGACAAAUGAUUAGACUCAUAAAAGACAAAUCACGUCUUUCUGGACAG